AUGCACCAUCUCCUGUUUGACUGCUGCAAGCAACUGACGCAUCUAACUCUUCAUCAUUGUGAUACUGGUUCCUUCUCUCUCUUUAAGAUUGAUGCACCAGGCUCAAAACUCCGUAUUCUAGAAAUCGAGAAGUGUCGCUUUCUGAGAAUCGACCUGGUGUGCCUCCCGAAAUUAGAGAAGUUCUUAUGGGAGACCUGGGUAUCUCAGGUUGCCCCAUUGACCUUUGGUUUUGUCCCAUCUCUUGGGGAAUUAGAACUCUCAAGUGGUUCAAAUUGUGAUCAACGCUUAUUUAGAUUAAGUGAACUUCUACAUGGAGUAACAAGCAUACAUACUCUCACAUUGGAUUUCCAAGGAGAAACGCUUUGGGUGCAACCUGAAAUGGAGGAACUUCGCACCGCAUUCAGCAAACUAAGGAAGCUGUUCGUACGUGGUAUAUUUGUUGAAUUUGACAUUUCAUGGACGACAGCCUUUCUUGUAGCAGCACCAUCUAUCGAAAUGUUGCAUAUUGAGGUAUGGGAACAUACAUGCGAUGUGGGCGAGGCCAGACCUGCUUCCUACCAUGACAGAAAGAGUCCUCGAUGGGAAAUGCACUUGGACAGCAGCUCCGAGAACAGGCUUCUAAAAGAGCUAGAAUUUGCUGGAUUUAAAUCACUCGAACAACAGUUUACAUUUAUAAGAUCCAUGUUGGAGCGAUGUCCCAACUUGCAGAAGAUAGUUCUGGGAGAUGAGGAGCAGUGCGAUGACUGCGACACCCUUAAGGUACCUCGUCCUUCGAGAUUUCCAAGGAAGGAAGAUGAGCAAGAAAUGGUGGUUAAGCGGAUUAGAGAUGAAAUGUUCUCGCCAGAGAUAUUUUUUUAUGAGCACAUGACCUGUCUUACAACCAGCACUAUGAACAAUCUGCAAGUAACACAUUCUUCACUGGAAAUAACUAACGAAGCAAGAAGCUGA
rnacentral:rRNA from 1 species